AGUUAUAAGUUCGUGCGUUUACUCCCGGAUGCCCGGAUUGGUCCGGAAAUAGAUAAUUAGGGUUGAUUGUUGUGUUGAUGUUACUGAAUGACGGCACUGUUUUUGUUUACUAUUGCAAUAUUUAUUGCCAAUAUCGAUGUUAUGUAAGGCUGAAAUUCGAAAAUUCAGCUAAAAAGUGCCUUGAAACACCGCGUUGCGUCUCCAGAAUCGUUCACCUAUAAAGGGAACCAUUAUGACAUCUCCAGUGACGACCGAACAAUUCUCCCUAAGGUGGAACAACUUCCACUCGAACUUGAAAUCGGGGUUCCACGAGCUGUUGCAGCAUGCGGAAAUGGUGGACGUGACUCUGGCUGUGGACGGGCACUUUUUGCAAGCGCACAAGGUGGUUUUAUCCAUAUGCAGUCCGUAUUUUAAGAAGAUGUUUCGGGAGAACCCCUGCAAGCAUCCGAUAGUGAUCAUGAAGGAUGUCGGACACGAGAACAUGAAGGAUAUUUUACAGUUCAUGUAUAUGGGGGAGGUGAGCGUGCUUAGAGAGAAUCUAUCGUCGUUUUUAAGGACCGCGGAAACCCUUCAAGUUAAAGGGUUAACUGGGGAUGAUACGAAUGACGAGGCGAAAGUAAAAAAAGAGCAAAAACCGCCGGAGACUCCGACCCCCGAAAUCGACGAGAACGAAAUGUACGGGCACUUGAUCGAAACCACCGAGGUGGAGGUGCCGGUUCAGUACGUACAUCGGAGCGCUACUUCGCCUCCGCAAACCUCCCCGUUACCGCUCAACUGUACCCGUAAACAACAAUCGCAAAAGUCCACGUCGCCGCAAAACGCGAAACGCCAAAAAUGCACGGAGUCGUCGGGUUACGCGUACAAACCCUCCGAACCGGAAACGACGCCAAAGCCACCUAGCGAUAGUAAUAAUUUCAAUAGCUGUGAUUUGACCGGGAACAAUCAUAAUAAAUCGACGAACGAAAGCGACGAAGCCAAAGAUUAUUCAAAGAAUCGACCGGCCGGAUUGUGGUCCGGCAACGUCGGAGGUGCGCCCAUUGGAGAUACCGUCGCUGGCGUCGGUAUGGAGCAGACCACCUCCGAACAAGGUCCAAAAUCGGACAGUCGAAUACAAAAAAACGGAUACCAGUGCGACCAAUGUCUGAAAAAGUUCUCCAGGAGAGACCAUCUACGCACCCACGAGAAAAACAUACACGGAUCACACGCGGGCCCAUUUAAAUGCAUAAUUUGCGAGCAACUGUACAAGAACACCGAGAGUUUACGGAAACACAUAUCCAAGUUUCACUUUACGAACAUUAACGAUUUGGGUUGUAAAAUCGAGGUAAAAGCUUGACAACGUGUUUUGGGCGGUUUUUUUUUCUUGUUGGUUGAAUAAUACUCAGGUUUGUAUUAAAGUUAGUGAAACGAUGGAGUGUAGACGAAGGGAAACUUAAGUGAUUUAUGUGCCUUAUUUGAAGUUUGUAUGGAAGAAUGUGUUUUUUUUUUUAAAGGAAAAAGUUGAAUACUUAUGAGUGUACCGUAAGUUGAGGCUAAUCUGGAACUAAUGGUCGAUAAACAGCUUUAUUAUAUUUUAGACGAGGGACACAACCCAAAUAAAUUGUAGUCACUGAGUGAUUGAACUUGUCACAAUAUGUAUAAAGAAUACUCUUUCUGAACAUCAUGCUUUUUGUUUUAUAAAGACAGUCCAAGUAGUAUUUGAGAUGUUGGACUUUAAAGUGAGUGAUCAACUUGGAGAUCAGACACAGUCCAACGACUCCACUGCUUAAAAACGCGAAUAUUCUCCAAAUAUUUCUUAAACUGGUUUACACCUUAAACACUAUUUACAAAGAAUACUUUUCUGAACAUCAUGCUUUUCGUUUCAUAAAGAUUGUCCAGGUAGUAUUUGAGUUAUUGGACUUUAAAGUGAGUGAUCAACUUGGAAAUCAGACACAGUCCAAGGACUCCACUGCUUAAAAAUGCGAAUAUUCUCCAAAUAUUUCUUAAACUGGUUUACACCUUAAAUACUAUUUACAAAGAAUACUUUUCUGAACAUCAUGCUUUUCCUUUCAUAAAGAUUGUCCAGGUAGUAUUUGAGUUAUUGGACUUUAAAGUGAGUGAUCAACUUGGAAAUCAGACACAGUCCAACGACUCCACUGCUUAAAAAUGCGAAUAUUCUCCAAAUAUUUCUUAAACUGGUUUACACCUUAAACACUAUUUACAAAGAAUACUUUUCUGAACAUCAUGCUUUUCGUUUCAUAAAGAUUGUCCAGGUAGUAUUUGAGUUAUUGGACUUUAAAGUGAGUGAUCAACUUGGAAAUCAGACACAGUCCAACGACUCCACUGCUUAAAAAUGCGAAUAUUCUCCAAAUAUUUCCUAAACUGGUUUACACCUUAAACACUAUUUACAAAGAAUACUUUUCUGAACAUCAUGCUUUUCGUUUCAUAAAGAUUGUCCAGGUAGUAUUUGAGUUAUUGGACUUUAAAGUGAGUGAUCAACUUGGAAAUCAGACACAGUCCAAGGACUCCACUGCUUAAAAACGCGAAUAUUCUCCAAAUAUUUCUUAAACUGGUUUACACCUUAAACACUAUUUACAAAGAAUACUUUUCUGAACAUCAUGCUUUUCGUUUCAUAAAGAUUGUCCAGGUAGUAUUUGAGUUAUUGGACUUUAAAGUGAGUGAUCAACUUGGAAAUCAGACACAGUCCAACGACUCCACUGCUUAAAAAUGCGAAUAUUCUCCAAAUAUUUCUUAAACUGGUUUACACCUUAAACACUAUUUACAAAGAAUACUUUUCUGAACAUCAUGCUUUUCGUUUCAUAAAGAUUGUCCAGGUAGUAUUUGAGUUAUUGGACUUUAAAGUGAGUGAUCAACUUGGAAAUCAGACACAGUCCAACGACUCCACUGCUUAAAAAUGCGAAUAUUCUCCAAAUAUUUCCUAAACUGGUUUACACCUUAAAUACUAUUUACAAAGAAUACUUUUCUGAACAUCAUGCUUUUCGUUUCAGAAAGAUUGUCCAGGUAGUAUUUGAGUUAUUGGACUUUAAAGUGAGUGAUCAAAUUGGAAAUCAGACACAGUCCAAGGACUCCACUGCUUAAAAACGCGAAUAUUCUCCAAAUAUUUCUUAAACUGGUUUACACCUUAAAUACUAUUUACAAAGAAUACUUUUCUGAACAUCAUGCUUUUUGUUUCAUAAACAUAGUCCAACUAGUAUUUGAGUUAUUGGACUUUAAAGUGAGUGAUCAUCUUCUUUUAUCGGUCCCUAUUUAUUUGAUAACUUCGGAAUAGUGGACUAGGACUGUCCGGUCGACGCCAUCUCUAGGGACUUCCCUAAAGCGUUUGACAGUGUAAAUCGUCAUUAAUUCUUGUAAUUGUUGACUUUUUGCUAAUGACAUGCAAUCGUAGCAAAAUUUGUAAUUUUUUGGUGCUAAUAGGUGUCACAGUAGUUAGACAACAAGUUGAUAUAUAAAGAUUUUGCAGACUGUAGCGCUCUAGCGAUGUACUGAAGACCCUUGGAUUGCUUAUAGGAAAAUCCUCUUUUUUUCCAGUGCUGGUCCCUAUGGAGAAUGGCAAAUUGACCAUCCACGUUCUACUGUACCUGAUUUGAUAGAGGCAAAUUUCCUUCUUCUUUGAAUUCCUCAAAAAUAAUUCCAAUACACAAGUUCGGAGUGCUGGUUCACUCUCACAGUGAUUGAGUUUUUGUUGCUGUUUUUUGCGACUUUACCACUCUCAGUCCGGGAUGCCUCUACUGGAGUACUGUAAACUAAUAACUUCAAAGAUCCUGCAGGCCUGUCUUCACCGAUCCAGCUUUAAAAUGUCACGAAUUGUUCCGGUUAAGCUCAGUUUAUGGUACACUUUAUUAUUUUAAUUAGUCACUAAUUAUAUUGCAUUUUAGUCAAUAAAUUUAUGUGUGUUUAACCAGAAGUCAAUUUAAGGGCUCGAGAUAAUUAUGGUAUUUUAGUUGUCGUUACCAAUAUUGUUUUAAUACUACUCAACCAGUGAAAUUCAUAAGCAUCAUAUAAAAGUUAGGUUAAUACGUCGGUGUUUUUAGGUUAUUACUUGUGUGAUUUAUUAAGAAUUAUAUUUUAAAAUAUGUUAUUUAAUUAAGUAGUCAUUUGAGGGACAUUUGUGUUCUUUUUUGGAUAAUAAAGAUUAACUCUGUA
rnacentral:misc_RNA from 1 species